AUCACGUUGCAUCAUUUAUUAACGCUCAUUGUUUGACACUUUCAGAAUCAAUCAACUCUUCCGGAGAACGCAAACGUGGUUUUCCUGCAGGUGGACGUGGAUGACGCUGAUGAAGUGAGUUCAUUUUGCAAGAUCGGCUGCAUGCCCACAUUCCAAUAUUACAAGAAUGGAUCAAAGGUGGACGAGUUCUCUGGAGCCAACAAAGAUUCAAUGAUCCAGAAACUGAAAGCUUUGAGGACAUAGAAAUCCACCGAGCAAUCCACACACACAUCCUCAUUGUAUAAAACCCACAGAAACCAAUAUCGCCCUCUGCACAUGUUUGUGAAAUCCCAGUUUCACGUAACGUACAAAAUCCAUUACGUCUUCUGUUCCUCACAGUAAUGGACAUAUAUUUAUUCCCCUCAUCAUGUCUUGUUGACAUACUGGAGUACUGUUAAUUCAGUGUAUGUAUUACCUGACAGAAGUUUGAUUAAAGCAUGAUGACCAAUUUUAAUUCUGUUUUAUAUGAGAUUGGCUUUGCUCCUGACUAACUCUGGAACUUUCUUUGUAUGUUGUGUUUAAGGUGGAUUUAAUAAUUAAAUAAAUGCUAAGUUACAGGAA